rnacentral:rRNA from 1 species
CGCGGCCUAUCAGCUUGUUGGUGGGGUAAUGGCCUACCAAGGCGGCGACGGGUAGCCGGCCUGAGAGGGUGUACGGCCACAUUGGGACUGAGAUACGGCCCAGACUCCUACGGGAGGCAGCAGUGGGGAAUAUUGCACAAUGGGCGCAAGCCUGAUGCAGCGACGCCGCGUGGGGGAUGAAAGCCUUCGGGUUGUAAACUCCUUUCGCUAGGGACGAAGCUUUGUGUGACGGUACCUAGAUAAGAAGCACCGGCUAACUACGUGCCAGCAGCCGCGGUAAUACGUAGGGUGCGAGCGUUGUCCGGAAUUACUGGGCGUAAAGGGCUCGUAGGUGGUUUGUCGCGUCGUCUGUGAAAUUCUGGGGCUUAACUCCGGGCGUGCAGGCGAUACGGGCAUAACUUGAGUGCUGUAGGGGUAACUGGAAUUCCUGGUGUAGCGGUGAAAUGCGCAGAUAUCAGGAGGAACACCGAUGGCGAAGGCAGGUUACUGGGCAGUUACUGACGCUGAGGAGCGAAAGCAUGGGUAGCGAACAGGAUUAGAUACCCUGGUAGUCCAUGCCGUAAACGGUGGGCGCUAGGUGUGAGGGUCUUUCUACGACUUUCGUGCCGUAGCUAACGCAUUAAGCGCCCCGCCUGGGGAGUACGG